rnacentral:rRNA from 1 species
UACAGAGGGGGCGAGCGUUAUUCGGAAUUAUUGGGCGUAAAGGGCGCGUAGGCGGCCUUUCAAGUGACGGGUGAAAUCCCUCGGCUUAACCGAGGAACUGCCUGUCAGACUGGAAGGCUUGAGACCGGGAGAGGUGAGUGGAAUUCCCAGUGUAGCGGUGAAAUGCGUAGAUAUCGGGAGGAACACCAGUGGCGAAGGCGACUACCUGGCCUGUUCUUGACGCUGAGGCGCGAAAGCUAGGGGAGCAAACGGG